rnacentral:rRNA from 1 species
UACGGGGGGGGCAAGCGUUGUUCGGAAUUACUGGGCGUAAAGGGUUCGUAGGUGGCCCGCUAAGUCACACGUGAAAUCCCUCAGCUUAACUGGGGAACUGCGUGUGAGACUGGCAGGCUUGAGUGCAGGAGAGGAACGCGGAAUUCCAGGUGUAGCGGUGAAAUGCGUAGAUAUCUGGAGGAACACCGGUGGCGAAGGCGGCGUUCUGGACUGCAUCUGACACUGAGGAACGAAAGCCAGGGGAG